rnacentral:rRNA from 1 species
AUUGAACGCUGGCGGCAGGCCUAACACAUGCAAGUCGAGCGGAUGAAGGGAGCUUGCUCCUGGAUUCAGCGGCGGACGGGUGAGUAAUGCCUAGGAAUCUGCCUGGUAGUGGGGGAUAACGUCCGGAAACGGGCGCUAAUACCGCAUACGUCCUGAGGGAGAAAGUGGGGGAUCUUCGGACCUCACGCUAUCAGAUGAGUCUAGGUCGGAUUAGCUAGUUGGUGGGGUAAAGGCCUACCAAGGCGACGAUCCGUAACUGGUCUGAGAGGAUGAUCAGUCACACUGGAACUGAGACACGGUCCAGACUCUUACGGGAGGCAGCAGUGGGGAAUAUUGGACAAUGGGCGAAAGCCUGAUCCAGCCAUGCCGCGUGUGUGAAGAAGGUCUUCGGAUUGUAAAGCACUUUAAGUUGGGAGGAAGGGCAGUAAGUUAAUACCUUGCUGUUUUGACGUUACCAACAGAAUAAGCACCGGCUAACUUCGUG